GACGAACCGUCCAAACGUUAUUCGGAAUCACUGGGCUUACAGAGUUCGUAGGCGGUCCCAAAAGUUAGGUGUGAAAUCCCUCGGCUCAACCGAGGAACUGCGCUUAAAACUGUGGGACUCGAGGGAGAUAGAGGAAAGCGGAACUGAUGGUGGAGCGGUGAAAUGCGUUGAUAUCAUCAGGAACACCGGUGGCGAAGGCGGGUCUCUGGGCCGAUACUGACGCUGAGGAGCGAAAGCGUGGGGAGCAAACAGG
rnacentral:rRNA from 1 species